rnacentral:lncRNA from 1 species
UUUUUUUUUUUUUUUUUUUUUUUUUGUCUUUUUGCCAUUUCUAGGGCCGCUCCUGUGGCAUAUGGAGGUUCUGAGGCUAGGCGUCGAAUUGGAGCUGUAGCCGCCAGCCUACACCAGAGCCACAGCAACGCGGGAUCCGAGCCACGGCUGCGACCUACACCACAGCUCACGGCAACGCCGGAUCGUUAACCCACUGAGCAAGGGCAGGGACCGAACCCGCAACCUCAUGGUUCCUAGUCGGAUUCGUUAACCACUGNUCCACGAUGGGAACUCCGGUACCCUUAUCUUAAGCAGAGGAACUAGAGUUAGCAGUUUCAGACUAGAUUGACUGAAAUGUACUUUUCUUAUAAAACACUAAUUUUUUAAAAGUCACCCAUAUAAUCUAACAUCUAACUUUUUCCUUUGAAUAGUCAAUACUCUAUUUAAUUAAGUGUCAAAACAAACUUCUAAGUACCAAAGGCAGGUUCUCUGGGCACAUAUGAACUAUUAGCAGACCAUUGUCUGCUAACAAGUGCUAAUUAGCUUGUUAACACUUCCCUGUUACUCUUUGGGAUGCUUUUAAUUAUUUUUCGGCCUAAAUAAAUCCAGAAGGUCAGAAGUUCCUAGUUUUGCCUUGUCUUUCUUAUAAAUUUGGAAAAGUUGCUGUACCUUCUCUGCCAUAAACUACCAAAUGGGAGUGACAGUCUGUUGGCUACUCAGCUCCCCAUGCUCCUUGUGGUGAUGAAGAUUUAGGGCCUUAGACUGUGUGCUUCCCAGGCCCCCAACACUCCGGUCACAUGGUGUCCCUGAAUUUAGUGCUACUUGAAUUCAGAGGUGUCUCUUUGAUGUUAACUCUUAAGACUCCAGCAACCUUAACUCAUGCCCUGCAGUGGAUGAAUGUUUGUGCUUUCCCAAAGCUCAUGUGUUGAAAUCCUAGCCUAUUGUGAUGGUAUUUGGAGGUGGGGCCUUUGGGAGAUAAUUAGGUCACGAGGGUGGAUCCCUCUCGAAUGGGAUUAGUGCCCUUAUAAAAAAGACCCUGGAUGACUCUCUUGCCCUCUUUCCACCUCUGGAGGACACAGUGGGAAUUCUGCACCAUGGAAAAGGAUCCUCUCCAGAGCUCGACCAUGCUGGCACCCUGAUCUCAGAAGUCCAACCUCCAGAACUGUAGGAAAUAAGUAACUGUUGCUUAUUAGGCAGCCAGCCUGUGGCACUAUGUCACAGCAGCCUGACUGAUGAAGACCAUUGCCUGGAGGCAGAUGUUCACCUGCUUGGGGCCUGCCUGCUCAGAACAGCUCUCACACCUUACCUGGAUAUCUCAAGGGAAGUGGGAAGUGGCUCUUGUCCAUGAAAUGCUUGGGAAAUUCUUGACCCACCUGCUUCUUAGCUUGAGGAAAAUCAUGAAAAGCAAACAUUUCAUUUUUAAGAUGGGAAAAUUUACUCCCUUAACAAUGGGGUGAAAGCAAUGACUGUCUUUUGCUGUUAUUAGUUUUGUGGAGUCUGAGUGGGAUGUUGCAGAGAAUAGUGACCUGGAAACGGGGAAUCUGGGUCUUGUCCUCUUUGUCUGUUACUGGCAGUGUGACAUUCCUGUCACCUUUCUUAGCCACAGUUUUUUCACUAGGUGACCACCUCUCCCAUUCCUUCUAAUCCCACCAUUUUAGGACUCUCUGUUUCUAUUUUUGCUGGUCUUUUCUGGGGAGGAUUUAAAAAUGAAUUUGCUCAAGUUCUGCCCCAUUCUGUCUAUUAAAUUCCAAGGAUUCAAUGACAAGUUGUGAUGUGCUACAAACUGGCACUGAUUUGUAGUAGAUGCCAAUUUCUGUGGUGUAAAUAAUCUCACUCUGGCUGAUUUCCAGCUAGCAAGGUGACAUCAAUCUGCUCACACAAUAUUUGAAAAUUCAACAACCAGCUCUUAUGGGCUGUACAUCAUUGUGAACAAGCCUCCUUGUCCAUUAUUCUGAGAGGAGCAAGACUUAAACAGUAAGGGGGCAGAGAGGCUCACUUAUGAACUUGGCUCUAUGCCUGGCUAUUGGGAAAAGUCAGUGUGGGCAUCAGAAAAUUGUAGAAGAUCAGCAUUGAAAUGUGUGGUCACACACUGAAAAUGGGGCUUCAGCCGGAAGGUCAUCAUGCCUUUAUGCUUGUAGAAGGACACACAGUGACACUCGGGAAUUGGAUGGCCAAUUAAAAUUGUUCCCAGUGGAGAGAGUCUUUUCCCAAGUGCCAGGUGAAAGAAAGUUUGGGAAUCAGGUGGGGCUGGAUAUUAUGUUUCAUGGAGUCUCUCUUAUCUUGCCUUUCCCUUGGUAACUAAAAUCAACUUUUUAUUCUGAGCCGGCAUUUGUUUUCCUAGAGAUAUCCAUUCCUUCCUUGUCGCUAUUUCAUGAAGGUGCUGGUGCUCUAAUUUUACUGUCUUUGUUAAAUUAGUUUCAGAACAUGCUUAGGGAGUUACUCAUAUUUCCCUCUUAUUAAAAUGUAACUAAAAGCACAACGGAGGCCUUGGUUCUAAUUCUGCAACUUGUGAGUUACACUGAGAACAAUCUUGUCCCCUGGUCAUGGAGUGUGUGAUGUUUCACUGUAAGAACUUGAAGUAGAAAGGAUGUUCCAUACAUAUUCCAUCUCCUAAAGGGGACCCCGUGUCAGAUGGGGCCCUGUCCUCAGCAAACCAGAGCUUAGCAGACCCAUAAUGUCAAGUGACAGCUCAGUGUGGGGGUUUCUUCAUAACCUAGUGGUUAAGGAUUCAGUGUUGUCAUUGCUGUGGCUCGGGUUACUGCUGUGGCUUGGAUUUGAUUCCUGGCCUGGGAACUUCCACAUGUUGCAGGAGGGCUUAAAAAAAAAAAAAAAAAA